AGGGAAAAGAGAGCAAUAAAGGAAAGUUCGAUUAUGAUCAAAUGAAAAGCUUUGUGAGAAGAGGGAAAUCUUAUCGGAAAUUGAUUUCUAGUGAUGCCUUGAAGAUCGGUCUAGUGACUCUGAAGCAGUGGGUAGUGGCCUUCCUCCUUCUCCGCCGACGGUUGCCAUUUCGAUCUCUCUCCCUCCCACGCUUUAUGUCACGGGGUAAGAGUUUACUACACUAAACUUCACUCAGCUUACUUGGAGAUUAAGUCAGCCUAUCCUUGGCUAAGUUAGUCCAACAAAGACUAACAUGGGGUGACAAAAUGAAGAAAAGGGAAGCAAAGUGAAGUGAUGGUGUGUAGGUGUGCAAACACUAAGGAACUU
rnacentral:misc_RNA from 1 species